rnacentral:rRNA from 1 species
UACAGAGGCCUCGAGCGUUAAUCGGAGUCACUUGGGCUUAAAGGGUGCGUAGGCGGUUCCGUAAGUGUCUUGUGAAAUCCCAUGGCUCAACCAUGGAAUUGCUCGGCAGACUGCGGAACUUGAGGUCGGUAGAGGUCGCUGGAACUCUAGGUGGAGCGGUGAAAUGCGUAGAUAUCUAGAGGAACGCCAAAGGUGAAGACAGGCGACUGGGCCGAUUCUGACGCUGAGGCACGAAAGCGUGGGUAGCGAACGGG